rnacentral:rRNA from 1 species
UGGGGAAUCUUGCACAAUGGGGGCAACCCUGAUGCAGCGACGCCGCGUGAGCGAUGAAGCCCUUCGGGGCGUAAAGCUCUUUCGACCGGAACGAUAAUGACGGUAACGGGAGAAGAAGCUGCGGCUAACUACGUGCCAGCAGCCGCGGUAAUACGUAGGCAGCAAGCGUUGUUCGGAGCUACUGGGCGUAAAGAGUGCGUAGGCGGUUUUCUAAGUUAGGGGUGAAAUCUCCCGGCUUAACUGGGAGGGUGCGCCGAAGACUGGGAAGCUGGAGUGUGGGAGAGGCGGGCGGAAUGCCUGGUGUAGCGGUGAAAUGCGUAGAGAUCAGGAGGAACACCGGCGGUGUAGACGGCUUGCUAGACCAUAACGGACGCUGAGGCACGAAAGCGUGGGUAGCA